rnacentral:rRNA from 1 species
AGAGUGAACGCUGGCGGUAGGCCUAACACAUGCAAGUCGAACGGCAGCACGGUAAGAGCUUGCUCUUAUGGGUGGCGAGUGGCGGACGGGUGAGGAAUACAUCGGAAUCUACCUUUUGGUGGGGGAUAACGUAGGGAAACUUACGCUAAUACCGCAUACGCCCUUCGGGGGAAAGCCGGGGACCAGCAAUGGCCUGGCGCUGAUAGAUGAGCCGAUGUCGGAUUAGCUAGUUGGUGAGGUAAUGGCUCACCAAGGCGACGAUCCGUAGCUGGUCUGAGAGGAUGAUCAGCCACACUGGAACUGAGACACGGUCCAGACUCCUACGGGAGGCAGCAGUGGGGAAUAUUGGACAAUGGGGCGCAAGCCUGAUCCAGCCAUACCGCGUGGUGAAGAAGGCCUUGGUUGUAAAGCCCUUUUGUUCGGAAAGAAAAGCAAUUCGGUUAAUACCCGGUGUUCUGACGUACCAAAGAAUAACACGCUAACUCGUGCCAGCAGCCG